UACGUAGGGGGCUAGCGUUGUCCGGAAUCAUUGGGCGUAAAGAGCGUGUAGGCGGCCCGGUAAGUCCGCUGUAAAAGUCAAAGGCUCAACCUUUGAAUGUCAGUGGAUACUGCCGGGCUAGAGUCCGGAAGAGGCGAGUGGAACUCCUGGUGUAGCGGUGGAAUGCGCAGAUAUCAGGAGGAACACCAAUGGCGAAGGCAGCUCGCUGGGACGGUACUGACGCUGAGGCGCGAAAGCGUGGGGAGCAAACAGG
rnacentral:rRNA from 1 species